rnacentral:rRNA from 1 species
AGCGAACGCUGGCGGCAGGCUUAACACAUGCAAGUCGAACGCCCCGCAAGGGGAGUGGCAGACGGGUGAGUAACACGUGGGAACGUACCCUUUGGUUCGGAAUAACUUGGGGAAACUCAAGCUAAUACCGGAUAAGCCCUUAUGGGGAAAGGUUUACUGCCGAAGGAUCGGCCCGCGUCUGAUUAGCUAGUUGGUGGGGUAAUGGCUCACCAAGGCGACGAUCAGUAGCUGGUCUGAGAGGAUGAUCAGCCACACUGGGACUGAGACACGGCCCAGACUCCUACGGGAGGCAGCAGUGGGGAAUAUUGGACAAUGGGGGCAACCCUGAUCCAGCCAUGCCGCGUGAGCGAUGAAGGCCUUAGGGUUGUAAAGCUCUUUUACCCGGGACGAUAAUGACUGUACCGGGAGAAUAAGCCCCGGCUAACUUCGUGCCAGCAGCCGCUGUAA